GCAGGCGCGAGAACUUUACAAUGCGGGAAACCGUGAUAAGGGAACACCGAGUGCCAGCAUCAUAUGCUGGCUGUCCAGAUGUGUAAACUACAUCUGUUAGCAAGGGCCGGGCAAGACCGGUGCCAGCCGCCGCGGUAACACCGGCGGCCCGAGUGGUGACCGUUAUUAUUGGGUCUAAAGGGUCCGUAGCCGGUUUGGUCAGUCCUCCGGGAAAUCUGAUAGCUUAACUGUUAGGCUUUCGGGGGAUACUGCCAGGCUUGGAACCGGGAGAGGUAAGAGGUACUACAGGGGUAGGAGUGAAAUCUUGUAAUCCCUGUGAGACCACCUGUGGCGAAGGCGUCUUACCAGAACGGGUUCGACGGUGAGGGACGAAAGCUGGGGGCACGAACCGGAUUAGAUACCCGGGUAGUCCCAGCCGUAAACUAUGCUCGCUAGGUGUCAGGCAUGGCGCGACCGUGUCUGGUGCCGCAGGGAAGCCGUGAAGCGAGCCACCUGGGAAGUACGGCCGCAAGGCUGAAACUUAAAGGAAUUGGCGGGGGAGCACAACAACGGGUGGAGCCUGCGGUUUAAUUGGACUCAACGCCGGACAACUCACCGGGAACGAC
rnacentral:rRNA from 1 species